CUUCAGGUGUUUUUUUGGGCUGAUAUCUGCUCACUGCUGGAGCGGUGUCUGCAUCCUCCUCCGUGUUCCAGCAGUCAGUGCUGGGGCAUGUCUCUGC